rnacentral:rRNA from 1 species
AACGAACGCUGGCGGCGCGCCUAACACAUGCAAGUCGAACGGCAGCGGACCUUCGGGUGCCGGCGAGUGGCGAACGGGUGAGUAAUAUAUCGGAACGUACCUUUCAGUGGGGGAUAACGUAGCGAAAGUUACGCUAAUACCGCAUAUUCUGUGAGCAGGAAAGCAGGGGAUCGCAAGACCUUGCGCUGAUUGAGCGGCCGAUAUCAGAUUAGCUAGUUGGUGAGGUAAAGGCUCACCAAGGCGACGAUCUGUAGCGGGUCUGAGAGGACGAUCAGCCACACUGGGACUGAGACACGGCCCAGACUCCUACGGGAGGCAGCAGUGGGGAAUAUUGGACAAUGGGCGAAAGCCUGAUCCAGCAAUGCCGCGUGUGUGAAGAAGGCCUGAGGGUUGUAAAGCACUUUCAAUCGUGAAGAAAAGUUAGCAGGCUAAUAACCCUCGUGACCUUGUACGUUAACGAUACAAGAAGCACCGG